CCUACGGGAGGCAGCAGUGGGGAAUAUUGCACAAUGGGGGAAACCCUGAUGCAGCGACGCCGCGUGAGCGAUGAAGUAUUUCGGAAUGUAAAGCUCUAUCAGCAGGGAAGAAAAUGACGGUAACUGACUAAGAGGCCCCGGCUAACUACGUGCCAGCAGCCGCGGUAAUACGUAGGGGGCAAGCGUUAUCCGGAUUUACUGGGUGUAAAGGGAGCGUAGACGGGGGUGCAAGCCUGAUGUGAAAGCCUGGGGCUCAACCCCGGGACUGCAUUUGAAACUGGGCUGCUAGAGUGUCGGAGAGGCAGGCGGAAUUCCAAGUGUAGCGGUGAAAUGCGUAGAUAUAAGGAGGAACACCAGUGGCGAAGGCGACCUGCUGGACGAUGACUGACGUUGAGGCUCGAAAGCGUGGGGAGCAAACAGGAUUAGAUACCCUAGUAGUC
rnacentral:rRNA from 1 species